rnacentral:lncRNA from 1 species
GUCAACUUUGCUCCUCUCUUCACAGGAUGGCUUGAAUCCUAGAAGGGAGCACAAAUAGUUGAACAAUGCACAAGCAAAGAAUUCUCUGUUGCCAUAACCAAUCGUCUUCAUGCUUAAAUUGCAACGUACUCCAGGUCAUAGUCAACUACAUAGGGUCCAAUUGAAAAUCACGUGCUUAAUUGUUUGCAGAGGAGACCACUAAGCCAUAAACAGGCUGAGGAGAUCUAGACAUUCAGAAGGUGAUAGUAUGAAUUAUCUACCUAUAAGGGAUAUUUUUGCAUGUGAAAAAUAAUGACAUCAUUCCAGAAAAUGACUGUCAUGACCUCUUACUUGUAGGCUAUCUAGAAAUUAUCAACCUGAAGUUAUUCACAAGAAGAUAUGGCAGCCUGAAUUUGCUGUUCACACUGAAAAAAUAUUGUGAAAAUUUCAUCCAAAGCCUAUAUGAUGAUGUUUGAUGUUACUGUGUCAUUUUACUUCCAAACACAUUCUUCAAACAGUGUGCUUGUUUCCCUAUAAUCAUUUGACUUGGCUGUUGAUUAGAUAGAAGCCUUCCUUUUUGCUCCAUUGUAUCUUAGCAGUCAAGAAUUCAAAAAUAAUGAAAAUAAAGCCAUUCUUUAAACAUCAAAAUGUGAUGGGAUUGCACGUAGGUAUGUAUGUGUGGGAGGGUGU